AUGGCUACAGAGGCUUGCGGUGGCGGAACUUUUGGUCUAGGUUUCUUUCUGGAAGUUUGGCUAUUUAUAGGAGGGUUUGGCGUCGAGAACAAGUUAGGGGGACCCACGAGGAGUCCACGAGGCACAGGGGCGCGCCCCCCACCCUCGUGGGCCCCAUGGGACUCCUCUCCAAUAACUUUUUGUUCUGGUAUUUUUUAUAUUUUCCAAAAAAAAUCUCCGUUGAUUUUCAGCGCAUUCCGAGAACUUUUAUUUCUGCACAAAAACAACACCACGGUAGUUCUGCUGAAAACAACGUCAGUCCGGAUUAGUUCUAACCAAAUCAUACCAAAAGCAUGUAAAAAAUAUUAUAAACAUGGUAUGAAUACUUCAUAA
rnacentral:rRNA from 1 species